rnacentral:lncRNA from 1 species
GUCAACAUUGCAUAUCGUUCGAGUAUGAUAUUUUCUAUCAUCGAUGAAGGAAUGGGAUCUUAUCCCUCUGAAUGCGUGGAGAAAUUCAUAAAUCUGGCUCUUAAGUGCUGUCAAGACGAGACAGAUUCCCGACCUUCAAUGACAGAAGUGGUUAGAGAACUCGAGAACAUAUGGCUCAUGAUACCUGAGUCGGACACCAAGAUAUCUGAAUCCAUAGACAUUGAUCCCAAAAAGGAUAUCACUCCGCCAUCUUCAUCUAAUAAACUAACGCAUCCAUACGUUUCACAAGAUAUCUCAAGCAGUGAUCUUGUCAGUGGAGUGAUUCCCACUAUUACACCGAGGUGAUGAUACAAAUUCAGUUCACAUUUUUUGUCUAUAAACUAUACCUUUUCCAUUAGUGGUAAAUUGACAUAAUUCUAUAUAGUCAUUCUAUUUCGUUUGUAUUGUGAGCUAUUUAGUGUUUUUUAAUAAUACCCAUGUACAUACAUGAUAGCUUUUAUUUAAAUCGUUGUUAUUUUCUUGGCUUCGACACAUAAAUAGUAGCUGAUUUUGGUCUAAUAUGCCGAAGCUACAUUGCUCAAAUGUAGAAAGAUUUAAGGAUAAACAUCUAUAUAUUUUAAUUCUGGACAUGAUCAAGGCAAAUGUUACCUGGGAUAUCAGAUAGGCUGUUUAGAUAGCGUCAAGAUCCUCAAAUCCUAGAGAAGAAUUAAAAAGAAAAGGUUAAAUUCUAAACUAAUGAAUUUCUUGAAUGACAUUGCCAUACACAAAAAACUUGAUCAAUGUCUACUGUGAAGGAUUACAAAUUUUGUUGCUACUAUAGAUUUCAUAUGUGAAAUGCCUAUGUGUAUAUAGUAAAGAACUAAGUGUUUUUUGUUUCCACCGAAUGCUUGUCGUCCAGACUUCCCCUUUGAAUUACCAUUUAGCGGGGCUACUAGGACUUGGGUCUCUCUCUUGGGCGGGGCAUAAGUACAUGUAUCUUUAAUCUUCGAAUCACCAUUUAGCGGGGCUACUAGGACUUGGGUCUCUCUCUUGGGCGAGGCAUCAAGUACAUGUAUCUUUACUGAUUAACCAAUUUUUCAUUUAUCGAUCUUGGCCCAAAAAAGUGAUCGACCAGGGCCCUAUUGAUGAAUGAAAGAAAGGGUUUAUGAGCCCUCGAAUUGUUUUUUCCUGUCUAAAAGCGUCUCGCAGCGAGCAUCUUCAUAACCUUUGGCACUACUUUCAUAUGCCAUUUAUUAACAAUUAUAUCUUCGUCGAUCCUAAAAUCAUAAAGAAUUGUAAUGGUCAAUUGAAAGACAAAAAUUUGGUCAUCAUUAAAAAUUUAAAAGUCAAAAAAUGCCCUUUUAAGCACAGUCAUACAUUAUGUAAAUGGUUGAAGUUAAGAAAAUGGUUACGAAAUCAAUGAUUGAUAUAGAAAAUAAAGUAAAUUUGUGUUUGGAAUACUUAUUGGAAUUAUAAUUAUUAGCCCAGAAAGAUGAAUGAAUUUAGCCCUUGUUUGAGUUCAAUUUUCUAAUAAACUCAUCUUCAACUACACAUUCUCCCAAUAAAAUAAUUUUACACGUAACUCAUAAAAUUUUCGUUAUUUUUAAUAUAACAUUCUCCAAAAAUCACUAUUACACAACUCAUUUUUCACAAUAAAAAUGGGGCUCAAAUUUUUGGGGUGGGGAGAGGAACGUGAAAGCGCCACUUUUAUGAAAUUCGAAAGGUUUGUAAUUCCUACUUUUUAGGAUUUGGACAUUUGUCAUUUCGAGUAUGUAGGAACCAUUAAUUUAUAAUGUUGCUUGUCUUGACCCAUAUGGUAUGGUCAAAGUUCUAAAUACACAAGGCAUGAAGGUCAAGCUUUAAAUCUUACAAGUUAAGGCAUAAUAAUUGUUUUAAGUAGAUAAAUAUAUAAAUAACGCAAACUUUGAAAAUUUAUAAGAAAGCCAAUUUUUUAACAAAAACAUAAUUUCAAAAUUAUAAAUACCUUAAUCCAAUAAUGCUUCAUCAUGGACUGGGUAGGUUGAAUUUUUGUUGGACUUAUUUCAUUUUUAAGUUUUAAUAAUGGUUAAACAUUUUGCUUGUUUGAACUUUAAAAUAAGAAAAAAUAAUUUGUCAAACAAAAUGGCUCGCACCUUUUUCGCAUAAGCUCAUCUCUGGCCAUCAACGUAAAGCUGACCGUCUCUUAUUAGAAGCCAUAAAAUUCAAAUAAGUAGAACUCAGCCAUGAUGCAUGCAUUAGCAACUAGAUAUGCUUAAGCCCAUGUUUGGUUCAGAUAAAAAACUGAUUAAAAUCAAAUGGUUUUGUCAUGAGGUCCACCAUAGCGGCGUCUUCCUCAUUCCCUAUCAUGCUAUGAUAGUCAAAUUAAGCAGGUUCCAAAGAGAGAUGUAAAGAGAAUAAAGCAUGCAAGAUAUGUAUUCUCAAAAUUAUUUUCUGGAUUCUCAACAUCUUUGGUUAGGGUUCAUAGAAAUGUCAUACUCAGAAAUCAUGACAUAGAUGUCACACAAAUGGCAUCUGUAAAUGAGGAUUACAAAAUCCACAAUUUAAGAUUUGAAACCACAGGCCAAAGCUAGAAGUAGCUUUUAUUGGCUGGUAAAGACUAAACAUAUGGAGACCUUGGAUCAAUUGAGUACAAAUUGACUUCAAUAUCUGUGCUCCAUCGUCUCCUUUUCCCGGUACCACUGCACAUACCUGCAGACACAAACAAGAGAGAGAGCAACUAAUAAAGAGCUUAUUUGGGUUAUAUAAAGAUUUUGAUUUUAUCUUGAAGUUGCUUUACUUUUUGGCUUUUAGGUGACAAGUUUUAAUCUUUUUCUCGAAGCUUUUUACUUUUUCAAGUAGUUGUAGUUUUCAGUACCCAAGAAAGAGCCAAUUCCACAUAUUUUGUUGUCCAAUAAAAUUGUUGCUUAACCAUGUACAAUUGCAUGUAAAUCUAAAAACAAUCUCUCAGAUCAUCUAAAUAUUAAAUGUGAUUAAAGAAGAGAGUUAUUUAUUUAUUGGUAUAAACAUCACACUAAUCAUAUAAAUUAUAUUUUUAAUAGCCACCGCCCCAUGUGUGGAUACUGGAUAGAGUUUUUCCAUUUUUUUUUUCUCAUCAAAUACUUAGCCUGUGGACAACUUUUUAAUAAAUAUGCAGUGAAUAAACUAAAAUCCAAAGUCUUUUACUUAACUUUAGUACUAAUGUGCUAUAAUGGGAAAAUUUACGCUUAACAUGCUCAAUCAAGACAGUGACUUGUUUGAAAAUACUAAUUGCAAUAUUCAAUUGUUCAUUUGAAUUUUAGAUAAAUUGAAUUGCCUUUAUACCAUGUUAAAUGCCACGCGAUUCGUGCAACGUGAUUUUAUAUCGCAAGUGUACGGUGUCAGGUUUUAUAAUAUAAUAUUAGAAUAAGAGUGUCGAAUCACAUGGAUUGAUAUUUGAAUCCUAUCGAGUACUAUAAUUAUUUUAACUUUCACUUUAUUUAGACAAUCAAUUUUUGAAACGAUAUUUUAUUGUUAAAUUAAAAUGAAUGGGAUGAACGAUGCAAAGUUAACAAGAGCAAUUUGUAAAGUUUCUUAUCAAAUUAUGAAUGCCUGGGGAGUGAUUUCACCGUACUAUCGACAAUAUUUUUCAAUCGUUAUAAUUAUUUCUAUCAAUCUUUCCAAAAUUUAUAGGCAAGAACACUAAAUUGAUUCCAUUUCCCUCUCUCGAGCACCAAAUAGAAUCUAUUUCUAUAUUUUAAUUCCAAUAUCUCUAUUCCGAACUAACAUAUAGAAAUUAUCAAAGCACCUAGUUCUUUAAGUGGAAUUAGCCUCAAAGAUUCGCACUUUCUCUCAAAAUCUACGAAAUCUAGGUUAUGUUAUUCUUAGAUUACGUCUAAAUUUACCUCUCUUGAGUGUCAAAAUAUAAAGCAUCAAAUCAAUCAAUUAGUGGCUAGUUAAUUAAAAGCAUUGCGCAAGAACAACAUAAAUAAAUAAUCGGAAAGAUUAAUUGAAAUAAUUAUAUAGGAAUUAAAACAUGUCUAAGUAGGCUACAUCAAAUCCCUAGGAUUAAAGUCUAGUUCAUAAUAGAAUUGAUUGACAUGAUGAAAUAUACAACAAAGAACAUGGAGAAGAAGUAGGAAAUAAGAAAAACUAGUUUUGUUGCGUGGAUUUUCCCCCAAUCGUCGUCAAUUUUCUUGCAAUUGCUUUUGUUGAUCUUUGCCUUUUGAGAUUUUCUCCUAACAAUCCUCUUUUUCCCCUCUAGAAGAAAAAGCGUCGUUCUCUUCGUCCUUCUAGGUUAAGUAGUAUUAUAGAUUUUAUUUUCAUAAGAGUUUGUGUCAAAAAAAGAAUAUGUCCGAUUUUUUUUUCCGAAAAAUGCCCACGCUCGCGCUGUAUAUUUCCUUGCGUGUGCGCCGUCUAUUGAUUCUACAUUCUACUUAUGAAAUUCAACCCAUUGCGUGCGCGCGCCGUUAUGAAAUUUUUCCAUAUGUUGCACUUUGGUCCCUAUACUUCAUUCUUCGUUCCUUUUGGUCCAUAUUUGACAACUUCUCGAUCAUUCAUCUUCUAAUACCAUUUUAUUGUCUCUCGAUCUUCUUCAAUCAUUAACAUCAUGUCCGAAUCAAAUUUUGAUACUUUGCGAUUUAGUCCCCAAACUUUUGAUUAGGACCAAGUUAACAAAUUUCCCGCUCUUCUGUCCAAUUUCAUUGUUUUGCCUCGAGUUACACCUAACAAACGAAAUAUGUAUGAAGUUAAGCAUCAAUUCAUCCUAAAUAACAAAAAUUACUCUAGUUUAAUGAAUGAAAUAAGUGUAUAAAAUACAGUUAUCAAACACCCCCAAACUUGAACAAUUGUUUGUCCUCAAAUAAAAGUCAAAUCAAAUAAAUCAUUAACAUUCACAAAACACACUAAAACAUAAAAAAUUAUUUAAAAUAAAUUUCGUUAGAUAUAUUGCCUUUAUAACUCAGGAUUGAACCCAUAACAUCGACUCUAUGAAUUACUUCAAAGUUAUAAUGUACAAACUAAAAUUCUUAUAUAUUCAAUGUACAACGGGUGUGUGUGUGUAGAGAAAAGUGCAACGUUGUACAAAAAUAAAUUGAUCCAAUUCCGCAUGCUGUGGAAUUCACACACUUCCAAACUUAUUUUCUUUUCUCUUUCCCAUGGUGUAAUCUAAGGUUAAUCUUGAAUAAUAAUCUCUUACACCGCUCAAGUUUGGUUAAAUUUUACUAACUGCAGUUUCACAUGUCAACAAAUGAGGAUUCUCCUUACUUUUGACUGCUUCAACCUCUAAGAAUUAACCAAGUUACUAACCUCUUGUCAAAAUGUCAAAUCCUCUAAAAUGAGUGUUCAGGGCUUAAGUGAGGCAUUAUUUCUUUUUUUUUUUUUUUUUUAUCACCCCUUGUACAGACGUCCUUCUCUUAAGUUUUCUAUAUGAUCCCUGUAGCGAGUUUUAGGUCGAUAACUCCCAAAUCAGAUGACUUUAGGGCAUCAGAUUUUAAACCCUUACAUACUUAAUCACUUGAGUCAUAAAGGCUAUGAAGAGACGAUUCCCAAUGAGAUUAUUAAAGUUGUCUUCAUUGAAAUUUUUAUUUUAUUUUUUAUAUAUAUAUUUUUUAUUUUUAUUUUUGCAAUACUUACUGCAAUGCUCCUUAUUAAACACGCAUUCUCGAAAAUUGACCUCUAACUUAAGGUUUUCACCCAAUUUUCAUCAUAUUAGUCUCAGAUAGUCCACGCAAAAAUUGGCACACACGAAAUCCACAUUUAUCUCCAAGUUUCUCCACAACAGUGCAAUCCUCCAAACAUCCUAGAUUUGGUUUAAGAGUAUACUGAUAUUUAAUGAUCAUUUGGAUUUAACAAUCUAAGUUUUCUUGUCCAACCUAUAAAUAUGAAUCCAUCUAUUCACGCACAACGCUACAAUCAACUAACGUGCAAAAUAAUUUUCAUUUCACAUGAAUAAAUAAAAAUUUGACUCACACAUAACUUGUCCACAAUUCAUAAACCAAUGCAUGUUCUCAAUAAUAAAUGUUAUUGCUGGCAAGGCUAUCUAACUCACACAAGCAUGCAGAACAUGAAUUUUUUAUUUUUUACAAUGUACACAAUAAAAAAAGGCACACAAAAUCAAAAAUUAGGUAAUUAGACAACUUAUCAUACACUUCCCCCAAACUUAAACAGAACAUUGUCUCCAAUGUGAAAUUAAAAGAAAAGGAGGAGGAAUUUCCUGAAUUGUUUGAAUUGCCAACGACGGUUUGGUGCUCUGAUGUUGAAAUUGAUGAAUGCUUCUUCUCGUUUUAUUUUCCCAAACUUGUAAUUUAUCCAACUUCUCCUUGUUAAUGUUGGUUUGAUUAUUCUGCAAUGUCAUGUUUCUAAAACUUCAAAAUGUAGAUAUUAAACUCAUAGAAUAAGUGUUAUUUAGCUCGAACAUCAAUAACCAACUUGAUUAUUCAAAGACCUAAGGGGGACGGGUAGGGUUGAUGAAUUCCUAAAUAAGAACUUCGAAAUAAAAUAAACUAUCCUAUAAUUUAAAAGAAAUAAAAUAAAAUAGAUGAAAAGGUAAGAACGCUUGGACUGCCUCCCAAGAAUCGCUUCUUUAUAGUCACUAGCUUGACUUAACCUCAACGCCUAUAGUGGAUCCUUAGGUGGCACAUUUCUCUUGUCUUCGAAUUUUACCCUCGACUUUGUAUUCUCCUUCACUAUAAAAUGACGAACAACAUUAUGCGGUUUUGACCAAGGUAUGGCCUUCAAGACCUUUUUUGGUUUGACAAUGUUUGGAGGUUUCAAAGGCUUAUCCACAUAGCUCUCUUUUUUGUCAGGUGGGUCAGCUUCUUGGGCUAAGAUGAAAUUCACCACCUUCUUGGUUCCUGGGUCAUUACCAUGAAUACAUGCAUCCCUUACUAAGUAACUUAUUAUCAUGUCUUGCACUAAUAGAUCAUAAAAUAAUUUCCAUUUUUCUCUGUUUCCUACAAUUACUUUAGCUGAUUGGAUCAUUUUGUAAGUGUCUCAUUUUUUUGAGAUUUUCUUUUCUUGAUGGAUGUUGAAAGUUACUUGCUCUUCAUUAACCUAUAGUAUUAACUUCCCUUCUUGUACAUCAAUCAGUGCUCUUCUAGUAGCCAGGAAAGGUCGACCAAGAAUCAACUGUACUUUUCCAUCUUUCUCCAUGUCCAAUAACACACAGUCCACCGAAAAGAUGAACUUAUCAACCUUCACCAACACAUCUUCAAUGAUGCCCUUGGGAUAUGUGAUUGAUCUGUCCGCCAAUUUCAAGGUGAGGGUUAUGGGUUUUACUUCUCCAAGACCCAGCUUUUUUGAACCUUGAUAGGGGUAUCAAGUUUAUGCUAGCUCCAAAGUCACACAAUGCCGUAUCAAAUGUGAUACCACCAAUAUUGCACGGGAUGUUGAAGCUACCCGGAUCUUUCAAUUUGUGAGGGAGUUUCUUCUAAAGUAUGGCACUGCAUUCCUCUGUCAGCUUAACAAUCUCGAACUCCUCCAACUUUCUCUUCUUUGAUAUCACUUCCUUUAAGAACUUGGCAUAGUUAGGCAUUUGGGCCAAAGCUUCUACAAAGGGAAUGUUGAUGUGAAUUUUAUUAAAGACUUCCAGAAACUUUGCAAAUCUCUCAUCAAAUUCUUUCUUCAAAUACCUCUGCGAGAAUGGUAGUGGUGGCUUCAAGAUGAGUGAGUUGUCCGAAAAUGAAAUUGAGUAAGGCUUAUAUAUCUUCUUUUUUGCCUCUGCUUCAGUUUUCUGCUCUUCAGUCUGCUUUUUUCCUGCAAGUAUGAGAUCCGAUAUAGACACCGCAACCUCUCUAGGUUGCGUUCUUCAACUACUUUACCCUUCCUUAAGAUGAUAGCAUUGCAGUGUUCCCUUGGGUUGACCUUCGUAUUACUGGGAAACUUUCAUUUCUGUUGGCAUUGUAUCGCAGUUGCUAUCUGACCAAUUUGUAUCACCAAAUUCUUCACUGUGGCCCCUCAAUUUGGUCAUAUGAGUCUUAAUGUUGUCAAGUCUUACCUCAUCUUUGUUGAACCUCGAUUUGGUCUCCAAAAUAAAGGUUCCUAGAAUAUCUUCUAGUGAUGGCUUUCGUUUAGAUGCGUGAUUAUUGAACCCCUGAUAGUAGUUGUUUCCUGAGUAGUUUCCCUUUUGAUUGAAGUUCCGGUGAUUCACAUACUAAAGUUAUUCAUUCUUCUUUUCAGCUUUCUAGUAUGAAGUGGAUGUAGCUAGAAUAGAUUCUGAUUCUUUUUGCGAUCCAUGUAAAGUCAAUGCAAUUAUUUGAUUAGGACGGUAAUGGGAUUUACCUCAUAAAGGCCAACAACUUUCUUUGCACUUGAACGCUCACUUGGCCAUUGAUAGCUAUUAGUAGCUAUCUCAUCCAAUAAUGCAUAAGCUUUAUCUAGAGUCUUGGAUAAUAAUGCACCCCUUAUUGUAGAAUCUACCAAUAUUCCUGUCUGACCAUUCAAACCGUUGUAGAAGGUUUGCAUCUGCAACCAAUCCGGGUAACCAUGCUGAGGACAUCUUUUGAAUAGAUCUUUAUAUCUCUCCCAUGCCUCAUAGAACAAUUCGAAGUCUAACUGUCGGAAUUGCCCAAUUUCACCCUACAAUUGCACUGCCUUUGAAGAUAGAAAGAAUUUUGUAAGAAACUUCUGUGGUAACCCCUCCCAAGUUGUGAUGGAUCCAUACAUUGGAACCAUGCUUUGACUUUGUCUCUUAGGGAAAAGAAAAAUAGACGGAGUCGGAUUGCAUCUUCAUUAACACCAUUCAUUUCACUGCAUCACAGAUCUCCAAAAAGUACCUCAAAUGAGCAUUUGGAUCUUCUGUUGGAGCUCCCCCAAACUGAUUGGGCUACACCAUGUGUACAAGUCCUGGCUUUAGUUCAAAGUUGUUAGCAGCAAUAGCUAGGCAUGCAAUACCGGAGUAAUUUUCGUUGACAACUGGUCUGAUGUAGCCCCUUAUAGCCCGUUGUUGACCAUUCUGAUUGUUUUGAUUUGCUAUUGGUGGAUCUUGUUCUACCAUUACUUCACGAUUGUGUCUCUGAAUACCCCUUAGAAGGUGUAUUAAGUCUAGAUUUCUCGCCCUUCGUAUAAACAGCUGAAAAUAAGAAUAAAGAAGCUAUUAGAAAUAAACACAAGACAAAUAAAAUAAAUAAAUAAAUAAUGGAAAUUAAAGUUAAGACAGAAAUCCAAAUAAAAAUGAAAGCCAAUUGGUAAUAAUAUCAAUUGAAUUCAAAUGAAUCAAUCCCCGACAACGAGGCCAAAACCUUGCCACACGAUUUAUGCAACGUGAUUUUAUACUGCAAAUGUACGGUGUCAAGUAUUAUAAUAUAGUAUUAGAAUAAGAGUGUCGAAUCAACAGGGAUUGACAUUUGAAUCCUAUUUAGUACUAUAAUUAUUUUAACUUUCACUUUAUUUAGACAAUCAAUUUUUGAAACGAUAUUUUAUUGCUAAAUUAAAAUGAAUGGGGUGAAGGAUGCAAAGUUAACAAGAGCAAUUUGUAAAGUUUCUUAUCAAAUUAUGAAUGCCUAGGGAGUGAAUUCACCGUACUAUCGACAAUAUUUUUCAACCGUUAUAACUAUUUUUAUCAAUCUUUCCAAAAUUUAUAGGUAAGAACACUAAAUUGAUUACAUUUCCCUCUCUCGAGCACCAAAUAGAAUUUAUUUUAUAUUUUAAUUCCAAUAUCUCUAUUCCGAACUAACAUAUAGAAAUUAUCGAAGCACCUAGUUCUUUAAGUGGAAUUAACCUCAAAGAUUCACACUUUCUCUCAAAAUCUACGAAAUAUAGGUUAUAUUAUUCUUAAAUCACGCCUAAAUUUACUUCUCUCGAGUGUCAAAAUUUAAAGCAUCAAAUCAGUCAAUUAGUGGUCAGUUAAUUAAAAGCAUUAUGCAAAAACAACAUAAUUAAAUAAUCGGAAAGAUUAAUUGAAAUAAUUAUAUAGGAAUUAAAACAUGUCUAAGUAGGCUACAUCAAAUCCCUAGGAUUAAAGUCUAGAUCAUAAUAGAAUUGAUUGACAUGAUAAAAUACACAAUACAGAACAUAGAGAAGUAGGGAAUAAAAAAAGCUUGUUUUGUUGCAUGAAUUCUUCCCCUAAUUGUUGUCAAUUUUCUGGCAAUUGCUUUUGUUGAUUUUUGCCUCUUGAGAUUUUCUCCUAGCAAUCCUCUUUUUCUCCUCUAAAAGAAGAAGUGUCGUUCUCUUCGUCUUUCUAGGUUAAGUAGUAUUAUAGAUUUUAUUUCCAUAAGAGUUUAUGUCAAAAAAAGAAAUCUACCCGAUUUUUUUUCGAAAAAUGCCAGCGCUCGAACGCUGUAUAUUUCCUUGCGCGCGCGCGCCGUUAUGAAAUUUUUCCAUGUGUUGUACUUUGGUCCCUAUAUUUCAUUCUUCAUUCCUUUUGGUCCAUAUUUGACAUCUUAUCGAUCAUUCAUCUUCUAAAACCAUUUAAUUGCCUCUCGCUCUUCUUCAAUCAUUAGCAUCAUGUCUGAAUCUACUUUUGAUACUUUGCAAUUUAGUCCUUAAACUUUUCAUUAGGCCUAAGUUAGCAAAUUUCUCGCUCUUCUGUCCAAUUUCAUCGUUUUGCCUCGAAUUACACCUAACAAAUGAAAUAUGUAUGAAGUUAAGCAUCAAUUCAUCCUAAAUAACAAAAAUUUCUCUAGUUUAAUGAUUGAAAUAAGUGUAUAAAAUACAUUUAUCAUUAACCAACUAUUCUAGUGAACCACAUAUGUACAUUUUCAAAGUGUCUUCUCGAUAAAAAAUAAUGAAUUUGUUGUUAGUCCUUAUUCUUGGUCUUAUUCAAUCUAUUUAACUCAACGUACCAAACACGACCAACUAUAUAAUCUUCUUAACACUAAGUCUCUAUUUGGCCUUUUUUUUCCCAAAAUUCAUUUUUCCUUAAAUUCGUUUUCAAUAACACAUUUCAUUAGAUCCACGGUUUUUAUUUACCUUUUACAUUUUCUUUUUAUAAUUUUUUACCAAAAUUUAUUAGAAAUUUUUAUUUGGGCUAAACCAAAUAGUAAUAAGGCCUUGUUUGACACCAAUUAUUUGAAAAAUUAAAGAGUUUUGAAUAGUAUUUUUGGAGCAUGUGUGGUUAAAAAGUAAGAAAGUUUUAUUAAUUUUUGUGUAAAAUAUUUUAUUGUGUGAAUGCAUGAUGAAAAAUAAUACUAUAACAAAUAUAAAUUUUUAAGGGUUGUCAAACAUGGGCUUAGGGUAAGCAGUGAAUAAUUGGAGACAACCAACUACAUUAUUGAUUGGUUCAUCAGCCUUUUAAAAGUGAUAGCGAUUGAGUUAAAUUAUUUUGACUGGAGACUCAAAUGACAAAUAUCUACCGCUCAAACAAGUGGCCUAUGUUUUGCCACCUCAGCCCCUCCAAACCCGGGAUAAAUCCCGAGUUGAGACUUGCUUCAUGUACGAAGGCCAAUCUUACAGACCUUUUCCAGAAUACACACAUACUUGAGGUCCACAUAAUUUUUUUUAAAAUACAUAUAGGGCCCCUGCACAGUGAAGAAUCCUGUAAAACAUAUGUGACUAAAAUUCUAUACACUGGGCAUUAGUGUCCCAAGUUGAAUAGCAUUGUUCAAAAAUCUUGGUCCCCAGAAUUCCACGUCAUUUUUCCGUGUUGGAGUGGGCCCACUUUCCGACUUCAACAUGUUAUAGGGAUGUUAACGAGUCGAGUCGGCUUGCGAGCCAAAACUCAAGGCUUAGGUAAAAUGUGCGGGCUUUUUUCCGAGCCCGAGUAGAGCCGAGCUUUUAAAUUAGACUCGACCCUAGCUUUUGGCUCGGGCCUUUCCGAGCCAGGUAGGCUAGCUUUUUUUACCUUUUUUUUUUAUUUAAAUUAAGCAGCACCGCGCUGCCGCUUAUUAAGGCAGCCAGCAGCUAAGGCAACUUUUUGGGGUUCAAUUUUUAUUUUUUAUUUUAAUUUGAAUAAGGCCUGCGGGCUGGCUUGGGCUUGGCCUGUUCUCCCUUAAUUGAGCUCGGCCUGAGUCUUGGCUCGAUUCUACCGAGCCGGCUCGGGCUUUUUUCAGGCCGAGCCACGAAUGAUCCGAGCCGGCGAGCCGAAAUGUCAUCCCUAAUAUGUUAGGAUUUAGAAGAUUAUCCAAUAUUGUGGGCCACCACAGUAUCUGAACUUACCUAAUUAGAACUUUACACAUGGAAUUUCUAUUCAUUUCAUCCAUUCCCGUGAGAGCAACAAAUAUCUAACCAAUCAAAGAAUGUCUUUCUAAUUUUUUGGUUAAUUUUUAUUCUUAGUUUACACUCGAAGAAAAGAACCAAGCUACAUGAACCGCGGGAGUGACUGUUGGGAUGACUGGGCACACACAUGGGGGUAGAAAUUUUUUAAUUCAUGCGAGACUCACUCGUCCCAUGUGAGGGUGCAUUCAUCCCUGUGGUCAUCGUUACAGGUCGAGUGGCUUAAUUCUGAAAAAAAUAAUAAUUAUGUUGUCGUUGUCAUUGUCAAGUUGUACUGGUCCUAAUUGGUUGUUUAGUAGGGUUCUGAGUGAGUCGGAUUGAACCUCGAGCUUUUGGGGUCUGUUUAGCUUUACUCAAAAAAUAUUAAAUCUUAGCUAUGUUUGGUUUAUAUUUAUAAAUUAUUUAUAAAUAAAUAAAUAAAUUUAUUUAUAUAUUUCAAAUAAUAUCCACUUAUCUAACUCUCAUUUAUAUUUAUUUAUAAUUUAAACCAUUUAUAAACACUUUUUGCUUUUAACAAUUUGGUGUUUGGACAAAUUUAUUAAAUUGAUUAUUGAAACUAUUUAUAAUUUCAUUUUCAGCCCCUUUUUACACCCAUUAAAAUGAGUUUAUUUGGAGAAAAAUGAAUUUUAAAAUAUUGAUUUUUUGAAAAAGAGUGGUUAACAAGUAUGACAAAUGUUCUGAAUUCACAUAUAAAAUAUUAUAUUGUAUGAAUAUAUAGUUGAAAAUGAAUUUGAAAAAAAAAAUUGUUAAUAAAUAUCAAACAGGGCUUAAUGAGAUUAUUAUUAUUAUUCAAGCCACUUGAGCUUCAUCCAAGCUCCCUAACGGUAAGUUAUGGUCAAUCUAGAGUUGAGUUUUGACAGUGACGUUCAUCACAAAAUCUAUAUUUUUUAGUUACAACAACCAAAUUGGAGUUUUAGAUUCUUAGUUUAUGUUCAAUUCAAAUUUGUUCAACCUCAAACUCGUUAUAUUUUAUUCAAACUUGUUAGAGACCUAAAAUCUCGAUUUUAAGUUCAAGAUUAGGUUAGUAGGUUACUCAAAUGAUGAUGAUUGAAUGCCAAUGAUUACCACCAAGUUCCGAUGAGAUGGUUAAAAUAUGAUGCAACAAAGUCCCUGUAUGACAGCCAUUAUCCAAAAAACUCUUCUUUUCAUAUACUCAUUUUCAACCAUACAUUCAUACAAUAAAAGUUGAAAUUGAAAUAAAAGAAUAAAAGCCAUAGCUUAAUUUCAAAUUUCUCUUAAGCUCCUGUUCGGUGAAGAUUGAAAUAAGAUUUUUAGUUUUUUUUUUUUUUUUUUUUUUUUUUUUUUUUUUUAAUAAAAAUUGAUAAUGUAUGGUUGAAAAAAUUAUGGAUUCUAUAAAAUAUGUAACUAAAUUAAUUGUUAACUUUAACUUUAAUAAAAAUUUAGAUUUCAAUUUUCACCAAAUAGGGACUAAGAAGGUUUCCUUGUGAAACACAAGAGUCACAGACCUCCUAAUUCAUUUGAGAUCCUCAAGGAUUUAUUUAACCAAUUCUUGAACAUGAAUAGCGAUCUGAGAAGAUUCCCCUAUCCUCCUUUCAUAUCGAAUGAUGGUAUAUAACAUUUACAAGAACACCAAAUUAAAUAAUCACACCUAAUAUAAUCAAUUAAAUGAAUUACGAAACAUUAUAUUUGAGUGAAUUUAUUAUUUAAUUACACUCAAUUAUCAUGUAGACUACUACUCUUUCAUAUUUCAUUACAAUGGUGCUUAUAAUUGAGUUUUAAUUAAUGGCAUUCUGAUGCAAAAGCCACGAAAACAGUUCCAUCAAAUUAAAUGAUGUAAACUGGCAAGCAAAUUUUGUGGACUCAAUUUAAUAUUUAAAAUAUAUGGCUGCUGUGCUCAUCAUUAUCGCCAUCAAAAUUCCAAUGGCGACCAGGUCAACCCAAUUGUACUCCAAAACCUCUGGAUUUGUAAAAUUCAAGGCCCAUUUUUCAGACUGGAUGUGCUAUAUGCACAGACCCCUGUGCACAGGGUGUGCACAGGGUGUCUCACAUUAUUCUAUUUUCUUGGUGGCCCCUUUUGUUGUUAAGAAUGUUACUGUACUUUUUGGUAUUUUUUACGUUAGAAUAUUGGGUUGUGUAACUUAUACCUUUGUAUCCACUAUUCUUUCUUUUGUCUGUUCUUGGUUUACUCGUUUCAGCUUUUCAGAGUGGUUCCUUUGGUUUAGUUGAAAAUUUGACUUUUUCUUUAUUUGAUUUAUGUUGAUUUAAAAGGUGGGGUGACAAGUAUCAAGACAUUUGACAAUUUUGGGAAAAUGGGUGUUCUUGAGAGUUCCCAGCCAACUUUCUCUAAAACGGGAGCAAGUUUAAUUGUGUGUUUAUGCUGGUGUUUGCUGCUGCUUAUAGGAGGAGCAGAUAGCCAACUGACGCAUCCCAAUGAAGGUGAUUUGUAUUUUUUCUUUCGCCUACUUUUGAAUUGUACAGAUAUGGUAGAGGGGCUCUCCCAAACCAAAAUCGGAGGUGGUUUGGUUCCAAAAAAAUAAAUUAUGAAUCGAAAUCGAGAAUCGAUAACCGACUGGGUUUGGUUUCGAUUCCUGGCUGCUGAACCAGAACCGUGAGUAUUCUAGUGGAACCGAUUUUUAUAAAAAAAAAAUUAUUUACAAUUUAUAGGCUGAAAAAAUAUAUAAAACCUAAAAAUCCUAAUUUUGGUAGUAAUUAGUCUAAAACUCUAAAUUUUAACCCUGGAAAAUAAGAUUGGCUCUUACUUUUUUACAUCUCAUCUUACAUCAGAUUGUUGCAUUUCAUAUGUUAUUAUAUGUUAUUGUUUACAAUUUGAGUUUUAUAAAUCAAAAAUUUCAAACGAAUUGUGGCAUAAGUUGAUGAAUCAAAAAGUUAUUUCUUGCAAUUCAAGUUUUUUACUUUCUUGUGUUGUUAAUAAAUUUAAGUGGUUUUUUUUUUUCAUAAUGCAUGACAAUUUAAUUUGAUAUAUUCAUUGCUUGCGUUGCGUUAUAGAUUUUUUGUUAUCUUGAGUUCGUGAUUCUUUUUUUAAAUAUAUACUUUUUUAUUUUUUAUUCAAACGGAGCGAGUUCAAUAUGUGGACCGUAAUUUUUUGAUACUAUAUUAGUUAUAUAUUUAAUUAGUAUUUUUUAUAUCAGUUCGUUUUAAAAAUAGAAGAAUUUAAGCAUUGUUCAUAAUUAAAUUAUAUGCCUAGUAUGCCUCUGAUCAAAUAAUAUUUAUUAAGAAAAAUAAUUUUUUUUAAAUUAUAAUUUCAUUUUUUAUCUUUAUUUUAUUUUCUCCUAUCUUCGUGGCAUUUAGUAUCCAAUAUUUUGCUCCUUGAAAAUUUCUUAAUUGAAUUUUUUUCAUUGCACAAAUAUUUUCGAAUAACAGCAUAUUAGGUAUAUGUACCAAAAGGUUCUAUGUGAAAUAUUUAUUAAAUAAAUGUAUAUAAAAAUGUUAUGGGUAGAACCAAAACCUAAACCGAUGGUUCGAGGUUGGUUUGGUUCCAAUAUUUACAAAGAUCCAAAUGAUCCCAUUUGCUAAAUAUCCAAAGUAUAAUGGGUGAUUCUAGGUAUUGAAAUAUCCAAACCGACCUAAUUGAUUCCCAAGCCUAGUUUUGAGUUAGUUUGAGCAUGCUUAGGAUCAUCAAUCAUGUGUUAUAUUAUGUGUAAUUACUUAUUCCUCUGAGACGGGAAAGAUGGCACUUGAUCAUGGGAAAAUACGAUGGAGAUCAUGAUCUAUCAUUUUGUUACUAUUUUUCUCUAGUUGUAAUUCUAGGAUGUUUACUUAAAUUGGAUUUAACAAAACAAAUGAAGUUUUAAUUUUUCUUUUCUACUAUUUAGGAUGCAUUUAAUUUGCGGUUUUCAAAUUGUUUUCAAUUUUGCAAAACACCCAAACUUGUUUGAUGUGUUAUUUUUGAAAAUGCAUUUUCGAAAAUUUAUAACAUAUAAUUUUGGAAACACUAAAAAUAUGGAAAAUUAAUGUUUAUUUAAAUAAAAUUCUAAAAAUUAAAAAUCCAAAAAUAAUGAUAAUCCUAACAAAUAAAAAAAUAAAAAUUUGGAAAGAAUAGAAUCUAAAAUUCUAGAAAAAUAAUUUCUAAGAGCAUGAAAUUCUUAAAAAAAAAAAUCUGAAAAAAAUUAUAAAAACUAAAUAAUUAUUUACAUAAAAAUUCUAAAAAAAAUAUUUAAAUGAACUUAAAUAAAAAUAUUCUCAGCAAAGUCAUUACUUUUUAUUUCCUACAUAUUGCCUACUCAAUUUAUUAUUAUUUUACUUUUCUGUAGCCAAAAAAAAUAUUGUAAAAUACACAAACUUUAAUAUGUAAAUAUUACUUGAUAAUAUGUAACAUAUAAAUGUUCUAUUGUACUAAAUAAUCAAAUUUCGUGAAAUACAAUUUUUUAAAAAUUUUAACCAAAUGUGUUCUCUGCUUUUCUGCUUUGAGAAAUAGUUUUUUAAAAUAACAAAUCAAAAGCCUUUUUAAGAAUUUUAAAACAAAUCCUCAAAAGAGAAAUAUAAAAAUGAACUCAAAACUUAAAACUGAAACACAAACAAAACUGGUCCUUAACUUUUGUGGGCAAAUAAGUAAGCAUAAGAAAAUCAAGGCUUCUCAUUGUGUUUGGGCAUCCUUGAUAAUACUCCCUUCGUUCCAUUUAUAUAGGUUUAGUUUUUUUUUUUUGUUGUCUCAAGUAUAUAGUUCUGUUUCUUAAUUUAGAAUAUUUUGUCUUGUUUCUUUACUAAUAUACCCUUAUUUAAUUUGCCUAGUUACAAUCAAUUUGUUUCCACUUAAUUUGCCUCCUUCUUGAAAUCAAUUUUCAAAUUCUUUACUAAUUCCAACAAUAAUUUACUACUAGUUGUUGAAAAUUGAAUAGGGUUACAACUAGGAAAUUAAUAAUAUUAAAUAAAAUUUUUUAAUCUGUGUGAAAAACAAAACAAACCUACAUAAAUGGAACGGAGAAAGUAUAAAUUAGUGACAAGACUUAAUGCUGGUGCACUGUUGAAUUUCUAACGAAUAAAAUUGUCAUAAGGUUCAAAUUAGACAAUAAAUUGCCAUGUUAUUUUUCCCAUAACUUGGAUAUAAUAGCGGUUUCUUUGAUCAAGAACUACUCACACUCCAAACAUUGAUAAAAAUAACUAAAUUGUGCUACAAUUUUAUCACUAGUUAUGUUUAAAAUGAAAGUAGAAUGGAUUCCUAUUUAAUUCAGAAUUACACUAAAACUCAAUGACACACAUUUACUAUCAACAUGUUUUCCUUUCCGUGUUAAGAGAUAAAAAUUUCACACCGGUUAAAUACUGAAAUAUUGACCAACUUAAAAAGGUCAUUGGCUACUCUUCUUAAUAAAGUUGACCUUAUUAAGAUGGAUCUUAAUUCUUAAUAUGAUAUCAGAGCUCAUUAAGUUUCAAUAAGCGAUUCGAUCCUGUUAAGACACAAUAAAUGAGUAUACGGAUUUCAAGAUUGGUCGGCUCAAACGAGCCACCAUCUUACGGGAGCAUGUUAAGGGAUAAAAAUUUCACAUCGAUUAAAUAUCAAAAUAUUGACCAACUUAAAAAGAUUUUGUGCUACUCCUUUUAAUAAGAUUGAUCUUAUUAAGAUAGACUCCAAAUCUUAACAUUCUGUGUUAACCAAUGUCCCUCAUUUUACCUACAUUUGAAAUGCUUACCACCAUUAAUGAGGUUUUGAAAACUAAUGUAAUUGAAUAUCUAAUGAAGAUUCUUACUAUGGUACUCGGACAUGGAAUUUAAGAGUUUAAUAAUGAGAUGGUGAUGUCUUUUGAUAUAAGGUCACAGCCUAUCUUUAAUAUUUUCUGCAGUGAAUGCAUUGCGAAACAUCCAAAGAAGUUUGACAGACCCAAAUCGGAAUCUUCACAAUUGGAACAGGGGAGAUCCAUGUAAUUCAAAAUGGACAGGGGUUUAUUGCCAUGACAGGACAAUGGAUGAUGGUUAUCUUCAUGUCAAAGAAUUGUAUGAUUUUAGUCCUUCCCCCUCCUUUUUUUUACUGGAUCAUAAUUUGCAGAUAUUAAGUACGUUAAAUGUACAAUGUACUUUUAUUGCUUCCAAAUUAUUAAAAUUGUAUAACUGCGCAUUUCUGUUCUUAUCUGAUUCUGUAUCACUUGGUGUCAAAAUUCAUCUUCAUAAGUAAAAGACUAUCUUUAGGGAUACAAUUUAGUAGGCCGACUUUUUCCUUUGGGGUCGUGUUCAUGAGAUCAACAGGUUACCAUGAAUUGGUCCUGAAAAGGGAUGUUAAUGUGAUAAAAGUAACCUUUCUAUCGUCUAAAAAGUUCGAUGAAAAUAUAUAGACUUCUGUGAUAUGGGAACUGUACAUGUAAAGAAUAGUUUGUUGCGGAAGCUCUCUAUGAGAGUGCCUAGAUUUACCACAGCUGUAACACCGUCUACCACUAGACUUGUCCCGCCUUUGCCCUUCUUCUUAUUACUCUCAUCACUCGAGUCACUACUUGAAUCACUACCGUCUUGAAUUCUACUGAAAUUCAUUUGCUUGAACUUCAUCAUAUUCCUCAUCAAACGUAACUCACCACUCCUCUUAUCCUCUUUUUUAGCCUUAAUUUCCAUCUACUUACUCCUAAGUGAGUCUAAGACAAUCUCGAGUGUUAAGGUGUCCCUAUCGUACUUAAUUGCAUUUUUAACCUCUUUAUAAGAAUCGGACAUGGAAUUUGGCAGGUUAACAGCCUUAUAUGUUUUAGAGACAUUUUCAUCACAAUUAACGAUAUUUUGAACUAACUUGUUAAAGACAUCCAGAUUGUCGUCAAAAUCCUUUGAAAGAUCCAUUUUAAAGUUAAAAAAUCGUUCAAACAAGUACAAUUUAUUUAGAGCGGAUUUAAGCAAAUCUAAGUCCUCCAACUUUUUCCAAAGUUCUUUAGUAGAAUCAAGUUUUCCUAGUUUUUUCAAAACAGUAUCAGAUAGGUGUAACAUAAUUGAAGUGUACGCAAGUUCAUCAUACACUUCUUUUUGUGCUUCUAUUAAGUUUCCAGGAAAUUUGUCAUCUAUGGCUUAUGAAUUUUUUUGUUGGGCCAAAAUAUCCUUAAUCUUUUGUUGUCAAAUUGAAAAAAAUCCCUUUCCCAUUAAAAUGUUGGAGAAGCUCUCUCUAAGAAUCUUCAAAUCGAAGGUUUUUGGGGCUCAGUUCAACGUACCUUUUUCUACCAACAACCAAUUCAACCGGCUUCGAUCCACAACCAAUAUUAUUCACCUCGAUUGCUAUUCAAUCUUACCACGUAAGACAAGAAACGGUGAUGAUUUGUGGCCACGAAGAUUAGGAGAAAAUACCACAAAGGUAGGCUAUGAAGGAACAAUUAAUUACACUAAGUAAACAAGUAUUUUGGAUACUUCUAGGGGCUGUUUUUCACACACCAAAGGGGGCAGCCGAAUUUCUCUUUUUCUCACACAAAAACGACCCAAAUCAUACUAGAAAGUGAUUAGGGUUAUAGCCUUAUAUAUACUCUAGGGUUAGGUUUUAAGUUGGACGUCUAAGAAACUUAAACAGGUCAAGAUUCAAGUCAUUCAAGAGGGAAUACAAUUGGGACAGGUGGAGCUCGUGGACUUGAUUGUUGGACUUGUUUCAUUCGUCGGCCUAUGCCUGUGAAAUAAUAAACCCACGUUAACAUCAUAGCAUGUGAUUUAUUAGGUAUCAGAAAAACCCAACACAGUUCAAAUUUACCUGAGUGAGAUUCCAAGGAAGAUGCUUAAUAGUUUUAGAUUGUGGAUAUGCCAGACUUUCUUUGGAAACAUUUUACAAAAUCUGUAUGUUGCUAACCGUAUAAUUAGUAACUGAGCAAUACUGUCUUCCUUUUUGUUUUCACCAACAGGUUCCUACUAAAUAGGAAUCUAUCAGGAAGCUUAUCUCCACAACUUGGACAGUUAUCUUAUUUGGAGAUACUGUAAGUUAGAUAUUUAAUACACACCUCUUUUUUAUUUGUGCUUAUUUAUUUUCCUCAGAAUGUUACCUCCAAAAUUUUCUCUACCUAUCUGUGUUGCCUUCCCUUUUAAAUUAAUUAUUUUUUAUUGUUCUCAGAGGGACUUUAUGUGGAACAAAAUUACUGGGAGUAUACCUAAGGAGAUAGGCAACAUUACGACGUUACAAUUGUUGUAAGUUGAAGCAGUUCUUUACUCGAUUAUCCUUUUCACAGUUCCUUUCUCUUCUACUUUGCUUAAUUUUUGACUAAAUGCUCAUUGAAGUAGGGGAAACCUUAUAAAUCCUCCUAAGCAUUCCAUUAUAUUAUUUGCUAAUUCUCGACAGAGGCUUCACCAUGAUCUGAACCAUUAUGUUUUUACUUGUGCUUUCCUUUCUUUGGUUCCAGGCUUCUGAAUGGAAAUCAAUUGACAGGUUCCUUGCCCGAUGAGAUUGGUUUUCUUCCUAUUUUGAACAGGAUACAAAUUGACGAGAACAAAAUAUCUGGAUCUAUACCCACAUCAUUUGCUAACUUAAGCAAUGCAAAGCACUUGUAAACAUUCUUCAUUAUUUCUAGGCAUUUCUGUUUCUUCUUUUUUUUUUUUUUUUUAAAGAAACUGUUUCCGAGGUAUAGGGACCUAUUCUGUUGCUGCCUCUUCGACGUUGUUAAUGCAUUUCCUUCUAAUUGUUCUUACUUGAACAGCCACAUGAACAAUAAUUCACUUAGUGGGCAAAUACCACCACAGUUGUCCAGACUUCCAGAGCUUGUUCACUUGUGAGUUAAAGAUAUGAAACCUUUAAACCUUACCCUGCUUCUUGAACAUCUGAUUUCAGUUGAUAAACUGAAACCUUGCAGGAUACUUGACAAUAACAACUUAUCGGGAUCUCUUCCGCCAGAGCUUUCUGAAAUGCCAAAAUUGCAGAUACUGUAUGCAUUCUUUCUUUAUUAGAUGUAUUACUUUGGUUAUUCCAUAAUGCAGGGAUUUUUCUGUAUCAGCCAGCAUGUUUUAGAAUUUUUUUUUUUUUUUUUUUAAUGCUUGCCUUAUUAAUUUGCUAUUGAUCAAUGCUAUGAGUUUAGAACUAAAAGCAACUCCAUUUUUCUUAGCAAAUGAAAAACCUUUGAAUCCGAAAUGAACCUCUAAACGAAGUCUGAAGUGGAAAAAAAAUGAAUGGUAGUAUGUGUUUGAAGUCUUAAAUAGCUAUUAAUAAGUAGUAUAUCACUCUUGAAGACUUCACUGGAAUCAUAAUAGAACCUAUCGGAGCCAUGACUUUGUGUCUGUCCAGCGGGUAUCUUAUUUCAUCCUAGUUUUGCAUUCAUUAUCAUCUUUUAAUUUCAGUUUAUUUUACAGUCUAAAAUUAAUCAGCUUUGACCAUCCAUUUGCAAGUGAUAAAAAAUUGAACAUUCAAAUCUGAUUGAAACAAAUUCAAUCACUGUGAUAAUUAGACACAUUAUGGUUGGAAAAAAUGACAUUCUCUUACAACUCAUUGAAACAAAUUCAAUCGUUGUGAUGGUUAGGUAUUACUUUUUCUUACUUUAUCUCUACUUAGCUACAUGUUCUAUUUCUUUGUUUUUCAGUCAACUAGAUAAUAACAACUUUGCUGGGAGUGAAAUACCUUCUGCGUAUAGCAACAUGUCUCGUCUGUUGAAAAUGUAAGUGCAUAAAAUCUUCAUUUCUGCUCUAAAAUAUGGUUUGUGGUUUCUAUUCUAAGUUAAAUUAUGCAUGAUAUAUAGCCCAAAGUCGCUGCACUUUUAUCUCUAAAACGUGGAUAUCUACUUCGCUUGAAACUGUUUAAUUUUUACUGGAAGUUUUGUCGUUUUAAUCAAAGAUAGACCCGUCCAUUAGAACUAGGUAAACAUGCUACAAUUUAUUCGAGCUAGAUAGGUGACAAUUUGUUAUUUUGUUGGACUAUUUCAGGAGUCUAAGAAACUGCAGUUUGCAAGGGCCAAUCCCUAACUGGAGCAAUAUGCCUUCUAUUGCAUAUAUGUAAGUCACUAUGCACAAGUUUUACUAAUCACUAUAGACACAUCUUUAUGGUGCCAAGGUCCAUUUCGUUGUUUUAAGUGGCAUGUACUUAGCAGAGGUGAAUACUAAAUGGUGCAGAAGAAGUAUUUAUCUGAUUUACUGAUAAUUUUCUGGUCAUUGAGUUUUGAGUUGGUACACUUGUUAAUUGGGGUUCUAAUAUUGAUCAUGCUCUCACUUCAGAGAUUUGAGCCUAAACCAGCUUAAUGGAUCGAUACCAGCAGGUGGCCUUUCUGAGAAUAUCACUACCAUGUAAGCACUCAAUUUCUGAUUGCUUUGCUAAUUUUUGUGUAUUACCUCAAAACCCCGUUUAUAAUUUUGCUUAAAAAGGGAUUACGUUUCCACAUUUUGUAAUGAAUACUUCGAAUUCUAAUUAUGCAGUGAUCUAUCCUACAACAAUCUCAAUGGAACUAUCCCUGACAGCUUCUCGAGGCUUCCUUCUCUACAGAAAUUGUGAGCAUUAUUUAAUUGUAUGCUAUGGAAAUGAUCGUGUCUAAGUUUAAGUUCUCUUGCUUCCCAGUUAACUUUCACUUGUCCACUUAUUGUCCAAGAUUUAGCUCUCUCGUUUCUUACCUUACAAAAUAUUUGUUGAGUAAAGUAUAUUUUAUUCUGCAUCAUUCUUCAGGGCGCUGACAAACAAUUCACUGAGUGGUUCUGUCCCAUCCACCAUAUGGCAAAGCAGGACUCUUAAUGAAUUCGAGCGACUAUCCUUGUAAGAUUGAUAUGGGAAAGAAAAUCCUCUCCAUCCCCCUCUCUCCUCCUGGGGAAAAGAAUAUGCUAGUUCUUGUAAAACUGUUCUUGCACAUGAGUUUUUGAGUCUAUUAUCAGACACUGGAUCAGGCUAAAACAAAUUGAAUACCAGUUUCAAUAUUUUUAUUGGACUCAGAAAACUUUAUGUCCUAAUAAGAACAGACUGAAAAUUUUCUUAUCUAUUGAUAAAUUUGUGCUCUUACACAUUUUUAUAUGGCAGGAAUUUUCAGAACAAUACGAUUUCAUAUAUAUCUGGCAGUCUUGCCCUCCCUCAUAAUGUCACCAUUAGGUUUGUCCUUUCUCAUCGCUUUCAUCUGCAAUGACAUUUUCCUGUUCUAAAAUAAAAAAAGGAAUGGCUAUUUGCAUCCACAUUUUUUUUUAAGUAUAUCCCAUUCUAAGUUUAUUUCUAAUAAAUUUUUAAAAAAAAAUACUAUUUACAUCCACGUCACAUUCCAAUUUGGUCGUUAUUAAAUUCAUUCAUUUAAAUACUAUAUAUCCACUUGAAUUUUAUAUAUUUAUCCCAUUUUAAAUACAUUCUUAUCACUAUAGAUUCGCCCAAUCUCCAAAACCAUAAAUUCUUAAACCAAAUGAAUGAAAUAAGAAUAAAGCUGAACUGAUUGAAUAUUAAAUUAACAUGAAAUAAAUUCUGUCUAUUGAAGUUUUGAGUAUUAGAAUGCUUCAAUAAACAAAGGCUAAAGAAAGAAAGAAGAUGGUUCGAUUAAGCAAGCUGAAUUUUACUAACUUUAUUGGUUACAAUUAUUCCUCUUUCUUGAUUAACUUAUAAAACUGCAUCAUAUUCUGUUUUGUAUUCUUUGAAAUUCGAUAUGAUUACCGGCACAGAAAUUAUAUUUAGGUUCUCUAUCUAUUAUGAUUCUAGUUAAGUAUAAAUGAAAAUAAAAACUAGUGGAUCAAUUUAGAGUUAUGUAUUUUUAUUUAAUUUUGUUUACGUCUAUUUAAAUAAAUUUACAUAGGAUUUAAAAUAUAACAAAAUUUAAUUUUUAAAAGUGAAUAUAUAUAUGAAAAAUGUGGAUGGAAAUAGUGGUACCCAAUAAAAAAUUGUCCAGAUAAAAAUAAAAAUCCAAGUUGUAUUGUCCCAGCAAUAACGGGUGAUGUAAUUUUCUCGUUUGGCCUAUGUUAUUUAUAUGACAAUUUCAGUCUUCGCGGAAAUCCCGUAUGCUUAAGGGGCGACCUUGUUCGAUUCUGUGGACCCCAAGACGAAGGUUUCGGCAAUAUCUUCAAAAAAACAAAUGGCUGUGUGCGUGUGGCGUCAUGCCGACCUCCUUAUGAGUUAGUUCCACCAUCUCAUGAUUCACCUUGUUUUUGUGCUAUGCCGAUGCGGGUAGGAUGUCGCUUGAAGAGUCCCGGGUUUUCAGAUUUUCGCCCGUACAUUAGUAGAUUCGAGAAGCACCAUAGUGAUGGUCUGGAAUUGCAUAGUUAUCAGCUCGUCGUUGAUUCGGCUGAAUGGCAAGUGGGACAUCGACUGAAUAUGAACCUGAAGAUUUUUCCGGCGUUUGUUAGCACCUCAAAAUCAAAAUCUAUAUUUAAUGAUAGCGAGUUUGGACGAAUUCGUAGCUUCUUUAGUGGAUGGAAAAUUCAUUAUAGCGAAGUGUUUGGACCUCUUGAGCUUCUCUCACUUCCGGAUCCUGGUUCGGUUCCUUUCUCAUUUGCAUGUUUACUUUUGAAUUAUUUUAAUCAUGGUAAUUGCUUUUUCUUCGUUGGAAGAAAGGGCUUACAUCUUCUAAAAUAGAAUUUUCCAAAAGGAGUUUUUAAGGGAAGAUCGUAUCCUGCUAAGCUAGUUGCAAUGAAAAAAAAUGCUCUCUUUGUUGAUGCUCAUGGGCCAAAGAAAGAAAAUUAUCAUGGUGAAUUUGGAGAACCUGUGUUGUGCUUGUUGUUCACACAAAAUGGUAAUGACUCCUCUGCCACUGUAACUGGUUGAAAACCAGAAAAUCAGACACUAACGAAGUUGUGUUCAAAUUUUAACUGGUUAAAGCUUUGACCUAUGAUUUAUUCAAAUUUCAAGAGAGUAUUACUUUUGGGUUGAAAACAAGGCAUUUGACUCGUAUACCUAUUACAUAUUCUUUGAAGCAUGAUUAUUAUGUUUUUGUUCAUACUUGGGUAGGACCUUGUGUACUUUCGUCAUUGGUAUGGAUCCCUUAACUACGAAGCAUUUUUAAUCUGCACAACGUAAGCUCAUUUGGCAAUUACCUAUCUGUAGGCUAACAUUGUUCUAAAUAGUAAUGGAAGUCAAAUUUACCUUUGCAUAAACUCAUUUUCGAUAUGCUCUUAACUCUUGGCUUUUUGCAGAAUCCCCAUCUUCGUCUGGCAUAAGCAAGGGGGCACUAGCUGGAAUCAUACUAGGAACAAUAGCUGGAUCAGUUACCUUAACAGCUGUCGUGGCACUUUUCAUCUUCAAAAAGCACAUGAAGAAAUAUCAUACAGCUUCAAAACAACGUCGACGUGAGUAUUUUACACUUCCUGAAGUAUUAUUGUGGAAUUGGCUUACAAAGAAUCCACAUCUUAAUUUAAAUUACUGAAUUUGAUAUUGAGGUGGGCAAAACUCUUUCCCCAAUUUAUUAAGGAACUUUUAUUUUGAAACCAAUUUUAUUGAAGUGAAAGAAAAAUUUCAUUUCCCCGGAAAAAGAAAAAAAAUAAAAAUAAAAACAUUUCAUUGGGGUAUAGCUCAAUUUUUUGCACUUCCGUCUACAUGUUUUUAUAUAUGCUCGACCAUUCAAUUGAUGUUCAUUUUCUACAGAAUGCAUAAAAAGAAUUGGAAUGAAGUAUUACUGUGGAAUUGGCUUACAAAGAAUCCACUUCUUAGUUUAAAUUACUGAAUUUGAUAUUAAAUUGAUUGCCCAUCCAUAAUGUCGUAUAAGUUAAGGUUUUGUAAGAUGAGCAGCAUGUAGUGUUUAUCACCAGCUGAUUGAGGACUAUAAUUUUCAGUAAAUUAUUACUGGAGUUGAGUGUAAACCUAAAAGUUGACAGCUUUCAAAAUAUAUUCUCCAUUUUUCUAAAGAUUUGACUUUCCUUUGGAGUCAGAAAUCAUUGCUAGAGUUGUUAAUGUGUUAACCACACAAAAGAACUACAUUAAAAUUUACACUGUAUUUAUAGGAGUAAUCAAGAACUAUGGCAUGACAUUUAGCUCUAAAAACAAGGUACACUGCAGAGGAUUGCAAUAAAUGAAGUAAAAGAAACGUAAAAAAGGACCAAAUUCAUUAAUUCUUGAUUCAUCGAUGUUAAAGAUUUUAAGUAAUAUACACACAUAUAUAUACAUGUUUGAUGACCUAAAGAAGGAGAAUAUUUAUUCAACUGUUUGAAUAUCUAAUUGCAUUGUAUGCAGCAUCAAGGAUCUUCAUCAAAAUCGAUGGUGUGAAAGAUUUCACUUAUGGUGAAAUGGCACAGGCAACCGAUAAUUUUGCAGACUCGAGUGUCGUUGGACAAGGAGGUUAUGGAAAAGUUUACAAAGCUAUUCUUGCUGAUGGAACCGUGGUGGCCAUAAAACGAGCUCAGGUGGGAUCAUUACAGGGUGAAAAGGAGUUUCUUACUGAAACAGAACUAUUGUCGAGGUUACAUCACAGAAACCUCGUGCAAUUGAUGGGAUAUUGUGAUGAAGAAGGUGAACAGGUACCCAAAUAAGAUAUUUAGUUUAUCUACAGUUGGUCAAAGUGAACUUCACAUGUUAAAUUGGAGUUCCAAGUGUACAGUUCAGUGAUUCGAUUUUUGAUUUCUAGAUAAGAUCAUUCACUUAAAAAUAUGCCUGUUUGGGUUUGGAUUGGAGGUCUUGGCAUACCUUCUUUCUCUUUAUAAAUUUUAAGCUGUGUCUUGAUCCUGCUUUAUAUAAUAUCAGCUUGGAUAAAUAACUUAGCUCAAGAUGAAUCUAUUAUAAAGGUAGAUGCUUGAUUACAUGAUUAGGUGGUAGAGCAUGUUUAGCUAAGCUUAAAAGGUUUACUUAUAACUAACUAGGUUUUAAAAUAACUUAGUUUUAUUGGUUACAAGUUGGAAUUAAGUAAAUUAUUAUUUUUGAGGUUAGUUAACUGAUGUUUAAAGCAGCCGCAGUGCUGACAUUAACAGAGAGGGGAAAGAUAGAGUAGCUAAUAAAGAUCGAAAGAUUUCUUCCGCUCCCUAUAAGAAACAAACUGAUAAAAAUAAGGGUUUAUUGUAGGAAAAUCAUGUGAUUGGAUCACAAUACAAAGUAUUGACAUUUCAUUUCAAAAGGCUAAAUUUUUAAAUAGUUUUUCUCUCCUCCAUCUUAUGUUUACUGUGCUUUUCAUUAUGCAGAUGUUGAUCUAUGAGUUCAUAUCUAAUGGUACCUUGAGAGAUCACAUACCUGGUAAAGUGUUCUUUUUCAAAUUGACCUUUUGUGUUUAUUUCUCAAAUUCAUGGUCUCUUAGUCUGUCCUUUUGUUGCUUACGAGACUGCAAACCUCUAUACUUCUUCAGACUAGAUCACACACACACUUUAAAUAACAUGUAAAUUGGGUAAUGUGCGACUUACAAUUUUGUUUUCUUGUUUCUGUCCUUCAAGCCCACAUAAUCGUCGUACUGUAAUUUAACCCAACUUUUCGUUUCAGGAUUACAUUUUGAUUCCAAAAACGUUCUUAAGCACGUGUUCCUCAAGUUCUUAACGAGUCAUUUAAGUAUUCUAGCGAGUUCAGAAGUAGAAAAGUAACAGAAAAAUUUUACUGAUUUAACAAGACUUCAAUGUUUGAGAUAUGCAGGAAAGACCAAAUUGCCUUUGAGUUUCACUAUGAGAGUAAAAAUUGCACUGGAUUCAGCCAAAGGCAUUCUUUACCUACAUACGGAAGCAAAUCCUCCAAUAUUUCAUCGGGAUAUCAAGUCAACCAACAUAUUAUUGGACCCUAAGUUUAUCGCAAAGGUUGCUGAUUUUUGACUGUCACGGUUAGCUCCAGUUCCUGAGCUUGAAGGAGGCGUCCUUCUUAUGUAUCAACAGUAUAUUUAUUCGAAAAUGCAGCAUCCAGUUGUUAUUUCCUUAUUUUCGUUUUCCAAUUGCAAUAUUGUGAUGAACAAAAUGAAUUCACGCGUCAUUCAAAAAUGUGGAUGCUUUAUCACUGCAGGGAUAUCUUGAUCCAGAGUAUUUUUUAUCGCACAAAUUGAUGGACAAAAGUGAUGUUUACAGCCUUGGUGUUGUCUUUCUCGAAUUGUUGACAGGGAUGCACCCAAUUUCACAUGGGAAAAACAUUGUUCGGGGGGUGAUAUAUUAUUGCAAUCCAUUUUUCUCUUAGUUCACUAGAAUAAAGAACAUCAGAAAUAUAAAUUUGUCAGUUGUACUAGUUACUAGUUUAUAAGUGUUAUAUGCUUUCUCAUUGUUGUUCUCUUUAAUGUUUUAAAACCCAGCUUGGAAACUUGGAAGAGGUAAAGAGUCGAGGGUUAAAGAGUUUAAUGGCUAUCAAAUUGGAUGUCAUUCACAAUUAAUUAACGUUUUAUGAUGUUUAAUGGCAAUCAAAUAUGAUGUCAGUAGUUAAUUUUCAACAAUAUGAAAACAAAACCAAAUAUUAAGGUUUUAUGAUGUCAAUGUUCAUAACAUAGCAUGAUUUAUUUCAAUGUCCGUCCUACAAAAUAUUCGUUUUUCCCGCAAAAUAAAAAUAAGAAAUAAAAAAUUGCUGCUAAAAGUUUCAUGCUUAAUAUUUGUCCUAUCUGUGCAGGUCAACAUUGCAUAUCGUUCGAGUAUUAUAUUUUCUAUCAUCGAUGAAGGAAUGGGAUCUUAUCCCUCCGAAUGCGUGGAGAAAUUCAUAAAUUUGGCUCUUAAGUACUGUCAAGACGAGAUAGAUUCCCAACCUUCAAUGGCAGAAGUGGUUAGAGAACUCGAGAACAUAUGGCUCAUGAUUCCUGAGUCGGACACCAAGAUAUCUGAAUCCAUAGACAUUGAUCCCAAAAAGGAUAUCACUCCGCCAUCUUCAUCUAAUAAACUAAUUCAUCCAUACGUUUCACAAGAUAUCUCAAGCAGUGAUCUUGUCAGUGGAGUUAUUCCCACAAUUACACCGAGGUGAUGAUACAAAUUCAGUUCACAUUUUUUGUCGAUAAACUAUACCUUUUCCAUUAGUGGUAAAUUGACAUAAUUCUUUAGUCAUUCUAUAUCGUUUGUAUUGUGAGCUAUUUAGUGUUUUUUAGUAAUACCUAUGUACGUACAUGAUAGCUUGGAUUUAAAUCGUUGUUAUUUUCUUGGCUUCGAC